CAGCAGCCGCGGGAAUACAGAGGUCUCAAGCGUUGUUCGGAUUCAUUGGGCGUAAAGGGUGCGUGGGUGGCUUGGUAAGUUGAAGGUGAAAUCUCGGGGCUUAACUCCGAAACUGCCUUCAAUACUGCUGAGCUCGAGGAUUGUAGAGGAGAAUGGAAUUCACGGUGUAGCAGUGAAAUGCGUAGAUAUCGUGAGGAAGACCAGUGGCGAAGGCGAUUCUCUGGGCAAUUCCUGACACUGAGGCACGAAGGCCAGGGGAGCAAACGGGAUUAGAUACCCCGGUAGUCCCUGUCUCUUAUAC
rnacentral:rRNA from 1 species